rnacentral:rRNA from 1 species
GACGAACGCUGGCGGCGUGCUUAACACAUGCAAGUCGAACGGAAAGGCCCCUUUGGGGGUACUCGAGUGGCGAACGGGUGAGUAACACGUGAGUAACCUGCCCUUGACUUCGGGAUAACUUCAGGAAACUGGGGCUAAUACCGGAUAGGAAUCCUUACUGCAUGGUGGGGGUUGGAAAGCUUCGGCGGUUUUGGAUGGACUCGCGGCUUAUCAGCUUGUUGGUGGGGUAGUUGCUUACCAAGGCUUUGACGGGUAGCCGGCCUGAGAGGGCGACCGGCCACAUUGGGACUGAGAUACGGCCCAGACUCCUACGGGAGGCAGCAGUGGGGAAUAUUGCACAAUGGGCGGAAGCCUGAUGCAGCAACGCCGCGUGCGGGAUGACGGCCUUCGGGUUGUAAACCGCUUUCAGCAGGGGCGAAGCUUGUGGUGACGGUACCUGCAGAAGAAGCACCGGCUAACUACGUG